AGGACGAACGCUGGCGGCGUGCUUAACACAUGCAAGUCGAGCGGUAAGGCCUUUCGGGGUACACGAGCGGCGAACGGGUGAGUAACACGUGGGUGAUCUGCCCUGCACUUCGGGAUAAGCCUGGGAAACUGGGUCUAAUACCGGAUAUGCCUCCGAUCGCAUGGUUGGUGGUGGAAAGAUUUAUCGGUGCAGGAUGGGCCCGCGGCCUAUCAGCUUGUUGGUGGGGUAAUGGCCUACCAAGGCGACGACGGGUAGCCGACCUGAGAGGGUGACCGGCCACACUGGGACUGAGACACGGCCCAGACUCCUACGGGAGGCAGCAGUGGGGAAUAUUGCACAAUGGGCGAAAGCCUGAUGCAGCGACGCCGCGUGAGGAUGACGGCCUUCGGUUGUAAACCUCUUCAGCAGGACGAAGACGCAACGUGACGGUACCUGCAGAAGAAGCACCGGCUAACUACGUAGCCAAGCCAGCCGAC
rnacentral:rRNA from 1 species